rnacentral:rRNA from 1 species
UACAGAGGGUGCGAGCGUUAAUCGGAAUUACUGGGCGUAAAGCGCACGUAGACGGUUUGGUAAGUCAGAUGUGAAAUCCCCGGGCUCAACCUGGGAACUGCAUUUGUGACUGUAGAGCUGGAGUGCGGCAGAGGGGGAUGGAAUUCCGCGUGUAGCAGUGAAAUGCGUAGAUAUGCGGAGGAACACCGAUGGCGAAGGCAAUCCCCUGGGCCUGCACUGACGCUCAUGCACGAAAGCGUGGGGAGCAAACAG